GACGAACGCUGGCGGCGUGCCUAAUACAUGCAAGUUGAGCGCUGAAGGUUGGUACUUGUACCAACUGGAUGAGCAGCGAACGGGUGAGUAACGCGUGGGGAAUCUGCCUUUGAGCGGGGGACAACAUUUGGAAACGAAUGCUAAUACCGCAUAAAAACUUUAAACACAAGUUUUAAGUUUGAAAGAUGCAAUUGCAUCACUCAAAGAUGAUCCCGCGUUGUAUUAGCUAGUUGGUGAGGUAAAGGCUCACCAAGGCGAUGAUACAUAGCCGACCUGAGAGGGUGAACGACCACAUUGGGACGGAGAAACGGCCCAAACCCCUACGGGGGGCAGCAGUAGGGAAUCUUGGGCAAUGGGCGAAAGCCUGACCGAGCAACGCCGGGUGAUUGAAGAAGGUUUUCGGAUCGUAAAACUCUGUUAGUAGGGAAGAACGUUGGGGGAAGUGAAAAGCCAACCAAGGGCGGGAACUAACCAAAAAGGGACGGGCAACUACGGG
rnacentral:rRNA from 1 species